rnacentral:rRNA from 1 species
UACGAAGGGGGCUAGCGUUGUUCGGAAUCACUGGGCGUAAAGCGCUUGUAGGCGGAUCGUUAAGUCAGGGGUGAAAUCCCGAGGCUCAACCUCGGAACUGCCCUUGAUACUGGCGAUCUUUGAGUCCGGGAGAGGUGAGUGGAACUCCGAGUGUAGAGGUGAAAUUCGUAGAUAUUCGGAAGAACACCAGUGGCGAAGGCGGCUCACUGGCCCGGUACUGACGCUUAAGAGCGAAAGCGUGGGGAGCAAACAGG